GAGGAAUUGCCCUCAGCUCUCCCCAGCCCUGCAGCUGACAGCAAGGCUGUCAUCCAGCCCUUAGAGGAAGAAAUUCAAACUCUAGAAUUCCUUCUGAGAUGGGAAGAAUCAUCCUUUAUGAGCGUGCUAAUUUCCAGGGUUUGUCCAAAGAAUUCACCUCUGAUAUUGCCAAUUUAAGAGAUGCAGACUGGAAUGAUCUUGCCUCCUCGGCAAAAGUAAUUGGCCAGCCUUGGGUGCUCUAUGAGCAUUCAAACUACAGAGGCCAGUUUCUGGUACUUGAGGAGGGAGACCAUAGCUUUUUUAGUUCAAAGAUUAAUAACAAGGUCAGUUCUCUGCAGAUGAUCACUGACGAUCUGAGCAAUCCUGAGAUCACUCUCUAUGAGCAUUCCAACUAUCAAGGGAAGAGCAGGGUAGUACGAGAAGCAACCAACCUGGCUGCAGGACACGACAAUGACAUCAUGUCUUCCCACAAAGUCCAGAGAGGUGCCUGGCUGCUGUGUGAGCACAGUGAUGGAAGUGGAAUUCAAUACAUUGCUCGAGAACAUGAAAACCUUCCAAAUUACAAGGCAAUCAAUUUCAACGACAAGCUUUCCUUCCUGCGUCCCCUUCGCCCUGGCCGCUCUUAUUAGAAUGCAAAUCCUCCAAAGCUAAGGAAGAUGCAGCACCAGCAAGAAAUUUAAGACCUAGAUCUCUGCCUCUGCUUUUGUCACAUUCUUUGUGAUUUGUUUUAAAAUGCCUCUGCGAUACCAUGGCUUCUGCUACUGUCUCUAAUCCAUUUUGUGUUGGUACCAUUAAAGAAACUCUUGCAAGCAA